rnacentral:rRNA from 1 species
GACGAACGCUGGCGGCGUGCUUAACACAUGCAAGUCGAGCGGUAAGGCCCUUUCGGGGGUACACGAGCGGCGAACGGGUGAGUAACACGUGGGUGACCUGCCCUUAGCUCUGGGAUAAGCCUGGGAAACUGGGUCUAAUACCGGAUAUGACUCCAUGACGCAUGUUGUGGGGUGGAAAGCCUUGUGCGGCUAGGGAUGGGCCCGCGGCCUAUCAGCCUGUUGGUGGGGUGAUGGCCUACCAAGGCGACGACGGGUAGCCGGCCUGAGAGGGCGACCGGCCACACUGGGACUGAGACACGGCCCAGACUCCUACGGGAGGCAGCAGUGGGGAAUCUUGCGCAAUGGGCGAAAGACCUGACGCAGCGACGCCGCGUGGGGA